CACGAGGUCCUGGAUGUGUCCGUCAGAUAUCACAGAAGAGCCAAAGCUGAAGACCUCACCAGUGAAUCCAGAAGCUCCAAAUGGAGAGAGAGACAGAAAGAGAGAGACUACAAUGUGAGAAAGGAGGGAGGGGAAGUGUUUGUCUAUGGAAUUUAUGGACUUAACACCUCCCCUCCUCAAGCUGCAUUAUUUGAGGCAUCAUUCAUGUUGUGAAACGAAAGCUCGCUUAUAAUGUCCUCUCUGUGAUGUAUCUUAUAGCUUCAAGGACUUUUCAAAUGUCUAUAAGAUCGCAGUGAAAACGCACAGAGCACAGCACGUCAAUACCCGUGGGCUCAGGACGGCGAGGGAAGGGCGUCCUUUCUGAAUAAGGAUAUGAAACUUUAAAUCACCCAUUUCCUGGGCUGAUUUCACACUGCCUAUUUGAUCACUUUUUGUGGCCUGGAUUGAGUCCCACAAGCCUCUGAAGGGCGAAUGAAGUUAAGCAGAAUCCAGGCUAAAUCAUUCCCGGUCUUGAUCGAUGAGGCUUCAAACUGCAGUCGAUCUCCAUGGAAGCAGUUAUAGUAACAGAAAAGAGCUUAUCCAGGACUAGCUUCUCAAUCGUCAAAUAAAAUGAGUUUUCUUCAUGGAGUGGCCACCUUAAGCCUGCUAUCACUGAGAAUCCAGUGAUGCGGUGAUGGGACGGCGCUCUCGGGUAGUUUUGUGUCAAACUGUUACACGUUCGUUCUCUGGAGUCCUCAACUAAGUUUCAUGAACUUCUGUGUUUCAGAUCAGUGAUUCAGAGGCCCACAUGGAUUCUGCUCCUCAACUCUAGAGAAAACUCAAGAUUGGUCUGCAUGUAACUGGAGAAGUUUUACCUCUCCUCUGAAAACAGGAGAAUCGUUGAGGGACAGGCGCCUUCCGGCAGGCAAAGAGGACGGACAGGCAGACAGGCUGGAUGAUGACCAGAGUUUGGGGUAUGUAACCUCAUGAUCAGCCGUGAAAAGAAUGGUGAAAACGUGCUUUAUAAGGAGGCAGGUGAGUGGCUACAGGUGUGGAUCGUGACCAGGUGAUGGGUUCAGUGGAUGAAGGAAGUGAUGACGUGACAUAUACACACAUGUGUUUGUAUUUAUAUUUAUGUAUAAUAUACAAACUUUUUAUGUAAACAAAAAUUUAUUUUGGGUGAGAUUAAUCAUUUGACAGCACUAAUAUAUAUAUACAUACAUUUCGUUUUAAAUCAUUAUUAGUAUCAGUAUGUUGAUGUAAUAGUUAUUCAGUAACUAAUAUUUAUCCAAAAGUCUAAUAAUUACUUAAUUACAUAAUUGAUUGCUGCAUCUUGAGUUUUUUACAUCCAUACUGCAGAAUUUACAGAAAAAUGCUAAUUUAAUGUGAGAAAUCGACUGUAGCUUUUACUGUGAUGUUUAGUGUUAAUUUCCUGUCCUUUCAAACUUUUGUCAAUGUGCAGGUUUUUGAUAUAAAUCUCAGAAUCUUUUGGGCUACUAAAAACCCCUGUAUUAUCUCAGGCAUCAUUUGCAUUGAUAACUGCAGAAAUGAUAGAUUAGAUCAACCCUAAAACCCAGACUCCGAAAGAGGGUGGAAACAUCAGAUUUGAGAGAAUAUUGCUGCUAUUUUUGUGUCGUCUGUGUCCCAAGGAUCAUUUGUCUGCAUAUCUCGAUUAUAUGUGCAAACAUCACAGAAACGUACAGAAAAUCAAUUUAACUGAUUAAUCACAGCCCUCUCGCUCGGAGACACCUGCUCACGACUGAUGACAAACAUGACCUUAGUUUGGACGGCUGGGUGGAGACUAUCAGCUUUACACUUCAAAUCUAAUAUUUGUGCUGACAGUUUUGUUUUUUUAUAACUCAGGAAACUCAGCUCAUGUGCUAAAAUGGUUAUUAGUAUCAAAAUACCACUUUUUUUGCCACGUUUUAUAAUCUCGGCAGAUCUGAGCACAGUUUGAGAUGGUGUUGAGAUCAUAUUGAAAAGACGUAGCUUUGUAUUGUGAGAAUUUUAAAAAGUUUAAAAUUAUUUUUUGAUUUGCUUAUUUCGAACGACAGGCCACCUGUCAGCCCUUUUUGAUUAUUUGUGGCUUUUAGAAAUGCAAAAAAAUGUAUAAAUAUGUGACCGCUUGCGCAAACAAUUUCUCCUCGGGGUUUUACAAACUGUCCUUGGUCAAUCGCAUACAUGUCACAUCUGUCUGUCAUGCCCCGGAAGACCUUGAAACUCAUUUCUGAACAUUGUGUGUGUGGUACACAGGUGCGCAGUGGUAGGGCGAAGAGAGGCUCUGGCAAGAAACACGAUGAAUUAGAUUUGAUUUGUCAUCCAUGCCCAGAGGGGUCUCGAACACAUUGACUCACACACACACACACACUUUAUGCCAUCCAUCACUCCACAAACAAAAUUACAUACAUACUGCUUUCCAAGAGACAUAAACAUUCCUGGCAGAAGUGUCGGCAUGACGGAUCUUUGAGUUGAAAUGCUGUUCUGUAUCUUAAAGAGACCCAGAGGAAAAUGUAUUAUUGUGCAGAGGUUUCUUUUUCUAAGCUUGGGAAACUUCUCAUUUAACUUUCAACUUUGUUUCAGGUGUGUCUCUUACUUGUAAAUUUAAAAUAAAAAUAGACACGAAUGAGACAAUAUCAGACAUACCAGUAAGAAUAUAAAGCUAUAAAAUGAAUACGGUGCACCUCAUUUCUUGAGAACUUGAAUAUGAUACGUCUGAGAUUACCUUUUCUCAAAAAAUGUAUUCAGAUCUCUUCAAUUAAUUGAGUGAACAACUACAAGAAAUAUCUUAGGCAUUUAAGAGAUAUUGUUUGUAUUAUUUUUCCUUUUCUUUCCUAAGGAGCUUCGUAACUAAGUUUCAUAACAAACAUUUCCUUUUUUUUUUGUUUUUGCAGGUUAAUUACUGAAUUAAAUUGCCUGGAUUAAUUAUCGUUUUUUAAAGCUCACCUGGACUUUUUAUCUCUGUUUUCAUUCACAGUUAUGAGUUUUUGUGUCCAUUCAUGUGAUGAAAUGACCCAUGUGUGUGCUACACAGAUCUGUGUCUCCUAGCACUCGCCAAUUGGUCAUACUGAAAUAAUUCUAGUCUGGGAGGAUGGAAGCUUUGAUCUUAAUAAAAGGAAUGUUUGAUGUCUGUGGGAUGGUUCAUCAGAGCCGGCUAGUUGCCAUGGCUAGCCUGACGUCAGAGAGGCCAGAGAAUACGUUCUCUAUCUCGCUGUUAUUUUGAGCUCAUUGUUCUCGUCACUUGGUAAUUGGGUGGCUCAGCCACU